GUCCACGCCGUAACGAUGGAUACUAGCUGUUGGGCAACUUCAGUGGCUAAGCGAAAGUGAUAAGUAUCCCACCUGGGGAGUACGUUCGCAAGAAUGAAACUCAAAGGAAUUGACGGGGCCCGCACAAGCGGUGGAGCAUGUGGUUUAAUUCGAUGAUACGCGAGGAACCUUACCAAGGCUUAAAUGUAGAUUGACCGAUUUGGAAACAGAUCUUUCGCAAGACAAUUUACAAGGUGCUGCAUGGUUGUCGU
rnacentral:rRNA from 1 species